UCACCUCAGCAGUCUCAGUGCUGUUUGGUGAGACAGACAGACAGAAGAAGAAGAGAUUUUUAUAAAGAAAAUAAAGAGUUAAAGACUGUGGGUAUCUGGAAGCAGCUCCAUGUUCCUGAAGGUCCACAUGACUGCAGACGACCAAUGAGGAGACGGCUAACCUGAACAGAAACCAAAGAACUUUGAGGAACCUCCAAGGACGUUCAAGGUCAACUUCCAGGUCAAAGUAAGGCUCAAAGGCAGCAGGAGCUUGUUUAUGGAGGAACGUCUCAGCCGGGAUUCUUCUCUGGAGACUUGGUGGGACUGAGGUGGGACUGAGGUGGGGCUCUGCUGCCCUCACAUGGAGCUGAGCACCAAAUGCAGACAAGUUCAUGAGCCAUCGGUUGAACAUCAUCAUGAUUCUGGUGGAUCCGGAGCAGAAACGGGACGACCUCUUCAGGACUGCGUCGGGAUCUGUGGUUCUCCUGUUUGAGCCUGAGGACACGAUCUCUGCUCAGUCAAGUUCUCACAGAGUUCAAUGACGGGAGAAGAGACAUUACAAAGUGAGCAGUCACACAAUUUGUGUAUUUCGAGAUUUUUACUUGGCUUCUUCAUGUUUUUAGUUUGUUUGUAAAAAUGAUCUGAUGGGUAAAAAUGUGUCUUCUGACCCGAAUCUGAAGGCCUCAUUACACCAGACGGGUUUAAAACUUCUGCCUCCAAAUGAUUCCUUCGAAUAAUUUUUGAGCAGCGACUCACUUAAAAAGAUGAAUAAACCACAGAUGAUCCUCUGACA